UACGCUAAUACCGCAUACGUCCUGAGGGAGAAAGCGGGGGACCGUAAGGCCUCGCGCGAUUGGAGCGGCCGAUGUCGGAUUAGCUAGUUGGUAGGGUAAAGGCCUACCAAGGCGACGAUCCGUAGCGGGUCUGAGAGGAUGAUCCGCCACACUGGGACUGAGACACGGCCCAGACUCCUACGGGAGGCAGCAGUGGGGAAUUUUGGACAAUGGGCGCAAGCCUGAUCCAGCCAUGCCGCGUGAGUGAAGAAGGCCUUCGGGUUGUAAAGCUCUUUCAGACGGAAAGAAAUCGGUGUGUCUAAUACACGCACUGGAUGACGGUACCGUAAGAAGAAGCACCGGCUAACUACGUGCCAGCAGCCGCGGUAAUACGUAGGGUGCGAGCGUUAAUCGGAAUUACUGGGCGUAAAGCGUGCGCAGGCGGUGAUGUAAGACAGAUGUGAAAUCCCCGGGCUCAACCUGGGAACUGCGUUUGUGACU
rnacentral:rRNA from 1 species